rnacentral:tRNA from 1 species
CGGGGCGUGGCGCAGUUGGUAGCGCACCUGGUUUGGGACCAGGGGGCCACCGGUUCAAGUCCGGUCGCCCCGA